GAUGAACGCUGGCGGCGUGCUUAACACAUGCAAGUCGAACGGAAAGGCCCAAGCUUGCUUGGGUACUCGAGUGGCGAACGGGUGAGUAACACGUGGGUGAUCUGCCCUGCACUUCGGGAUAAGCCUGGGAAGCUGGGUCUAAUACCGGAUAGGACCACUUCUUGGAUGUUGUGGUGGAAAGUUUUUUCGGUGUGGGAUGAGCUCGCGGCCUAUCAGCUUGUUGGUGGGGUAAUGGCCUACCAAGGCGUCGACGGGUAGCCGGCCUGAGAGGGUGUACGACCACAUUGGGACUGAGAUACGGCCCAGACUCCUACGGGAGGCAGCAGUGGGGAAUAUUGCACAAUGGGCGCAAGCCUGAUGCAGCGACGCCGCGUGGGGGAUGACGGCCUUCGGGUUGUAAACUCCUUUCGCUAGGGACGAAGCGUUUUGUGACGGUACCUGGAGAAGAAGCACCGGCUAACUACGUG
rnacentral:rRNA from 1 species